rnacentral:rRNA from 1 species
AUUGAACGCUGGCGGCAUGCCUUACACAUGCAAGUCGAACGGUAACGGGCCUUCGGGUGCCGACGAGUGGCGAACGGGUGCGUAAUACAUCGGAACGUGCCCGAUCGUGGGGGAUAACGAGGCGAAAGCUUUGCUAAUACCGCAUACGAUCUACGGAUGAAAGCAGGGGACCGCAAGGCCUUGCGCGGACGGAGCGGCCGAUGGCAGAUUAGGUAGUUGGUGGGAUAAAAGCUUACCAAGCCGACGAUCUGUAGCUGGUCUGAGAGGAUGAUCAGCCACACUGGGACUGAGACACGGCCCAGACUCCUACGGGAGGCAGCAGUGGGGAAUUUUGGACAAUGGGCGCAAGCCUGAUCCAGCCAUGCCGCGUGCAGGAUGAAGGCCUUCGGGUCGUAAACUGCUUUUGUACGGAACGAAAAGCCUUCUUUUAAUACAGGAGGGUCAUGACGGUACCGUAAGAAUAAGCACCGGCUAACUACGU